rnacentral:rRNA from 1 species
AGAGUUUGAUCCUGGCUCAGAUUGAACGCUGGCGGCAUGCUUUACACAUGCAAGUCGGACGGCAGCACAGGGAAGCUUGCUUCUCGGGUGGCGAGUGGCGAACGGGUGAGUAACAUAUCGGAACGUACCGGGUAGCGGGGGAUAACUGAUCGAAAGAUCAGCUAAUACCGCAUACGUCUUGAGAGGGAAAGCAGGGGACCUUCGGGCCUUGCGCUAUCCGAGCGGCCGAUAUCUGAUUAGCUGGUUGGCGGGGUAAAGGCCCACCAAGGCGACGAUCAGUAGCGGGUCUGAGAGGAUGAUCCGCCACACUGGGACUGAGACACGGUCCAGACUCCUACGGGAGGCAGCAGUGGGGAAUUUUGGACAAUGGGCGCAAGCCUGAUCCAGCCAUGCCGCGUGUCUGAAGAAGGCCUUCGGGUUGUAAAGGACUUUUGUCAGGGAAGAAAAGGCCGUUGCCAAUAUCGGCGGCCGAUGACGGUACCUGAAGAAUAAGCACCGGCUAACUACGUGCCAGCAGCCGCGGUAAUACGUAGGGUGCGAGCGUUAAUCGGAAUUACUGGGCGUAAAGCGGGCGCAGACGGUUACUUAAGCAGGAUGUGAAAUCCCCGGGCUCAACCCGGGAACUGCGUUCUGAACUGGGUGACUCGAGUGUGUCAGAGGGAGGUGGAAUUCCACGUGUAGCAGUGAAAUGCGUAGAGAUGUGGAGGAAUACCGAUGGCGAAGGCAGCCUCCUGGGAUAACACUGACGUUCAUGUCCGAAAGCGUGGGUAGCAAACAGGAUUAGAUACCCUGGUAGUCCACGCCCUAAACGAUGUCAAUUAGCUGUUGGGCAACUUGAUUGCUUGGUAGCGUAGCUAACGCGUGAAAUUGACCGCCUGGGGAGUACGGUCGCAAGAUUAAAACUCAAAGGAAUUGACGGGGACCCGCACAAGCGGUGGAUGAUGUGGAUUAAUUCGAUGCAACGCGAAGAACCUUACCUGGUUUUGACAUGUGCGGAAUCCUCCGGAGACGGAGGAGUGCCUUCGGGAGCCGUAACACAGGUGCUGCAUGGCUGUCGUCAGCUCGUGUCGUGAGAUGUUGGGUUAAGUCCCGCAACGAGCGCAACCCUUGUCAUUAGUUGCCAUCAUUCGGUUGGGCACUCUAAUGAGACUGCCGGUGACAAGCCGGAGGAAGGUGGGGAUGACGUCAAGUCCUCAUGGCCCUUAUGACCAGGGCUUCACACGUCAUACAAUGGUCGGUACAGAGGGUAGCCAAGCCGCGAGGCGGAGCCAAUCUCACAAAACCGAUCGUAGUCCGGAUUGCACUCUGCAACUCGAGUGCAUGAAGUCGGAAUCGCUAGUAAUCGCAGGUCAGCAUACUGCGGUGAAUACGUUCCCGGGUCUUGUACACACCGCCCGUCACACCAUGGGAGUGGGGGAUACCAGAAGUAGGUAGGGUAACCGCAAGGAGCCCGCUUACCACGGUAUGCUUCAUGACUGGGGUGAAGUCGUAACAAGGUAGCCGUAGGGGAACCUGCGGCUGGAUCACCU